AUCACCUGGGGAUAUUGUUAAAAUGCAGAUUUCUGAUUCAGUAGGUGGGGGGUUGGACCUGAGAUCCUGCAUUUCUAACACUCUCCCAAGGUGAUGCUGA
rnacentral:pre_miRNA from 1 species